GCCCACCUUCCUCUCCUGAGGUUCCCUGAGAUCCCUGACCUCUGGUUCGAUGCCGCCCUCUCCGUUCCUGUGGUGGUGGCUGGACUCGGUGGUAAGAGGCAGAACUCCACUCUAUUCAUGAGAAAAACAUCAGACAAAUUCCAAUAGAGAGGCAUUCUACAAAAUACCUAAUCAGUACUCCUCAAAACUCUUAAGGCCAUCAAAUUCAAUAAAAGACAGAAACUAUCAGUCAAGAGGAGCCCAAGGAGACAAGACAACUAGAUGUAAUAUGAUAUCCUGGAUGGGAUCGUGGAACCGGAAUGAAAGGAAAUCAAACUGUUGAAAAGGAUGUCCCAUUAAGGUGAGCAAGGAUCAGCCAGGAGAGGGUGAGACAGACCAGGGAAGAAGCCUAGACUAUCGG